rnacentral:rRNA from 1 species
AACGCGAAGAACCUUACCAGGGCUUGACAUGUCGGAAGUAGCGACCCGAAAGGGAAACGACCUGUUGAGCCAGGAGCCGUCACAGGUGCUGCAUGGCUGUCGUCAGCUCGUGCCGUGAGGUGUUGGGUUAAGUCCCGUAACGAGCGCAACCCUCGUUGCCAGUUAAUUUCUCUGGCGAGACUGCCCCGCGUAACGGGGAGGAAGGUGGGGAUGACGUCAAGUCAGCACGGCCCUUAUGCCUUGGGCUACACACACGCUACAAUGGGUGGUACAAUGGGUAGCAAUGGGGCGGUCCGGAGCUAAUCCCACAAAGCCAUCCUCAGUUCGGAUUGCAGGCUGAAACCCGCCUGCAUGAAGUUGGAGUUGCUAGUAACCGCAGGUCAGCAUACUGCGGUGAAUACGUUCUCGGGCCUUGUACACACCGCCCGUCACGUCAUGAAAGUUGGCAACACCUGAAGUCGAUGGGCUAACCCCGACUUGUCGGGGAGGCAGUCGCCGAGGGUGGGGUUAAUGAUUGGGACGAAGUCGUAACAAGGUAACCUUAAUUAAAA